GAGCGCAUCCUGAGUGUUCUGGUACCCAAGGCAUAUGGUGCAUAUUUAUAGGGCUCCAUCUGAGGGCUUCCAUAAAUUAAGCCGACACGAGUUAUCCGUAAGAAAGUAAAAUAAGCACUUUGCUCUAAAAACCAAAAGAAGUUUUCCAAACCCUACCUCUGUACAUCUAGCUAGCUACCACAAACACAGAAUCCUGAAAGAGAAAUUCUAGAAACAGCAAAAGUGCUAACCACUCAUCUUCAGCAAGCUGGCUUUUUUCAGAACGUAUAUGAAGCACAUAGAGUGCACAGUUUAGAACCAGCAAUCUUCUUUCUCACAGAUUCAUUUCACUGUGUCCACGGAAAUUUCUGGAUGUUCCCUUUGGACCAGUUUGAGAGACGAGGUAAUCCUCUUUUGUGAAACUUGCUAUCUAAAUUGUGGGCAAUUUCCUUAACCUCAUAGGUAACACGAGGAUUAUAGUAUGAUCUCCCCCACAGAGUUGUUUUACAAAUUAGAGCCUAUUGACUGUAGAGUGGUUUCCACAAUGACCGCAUAUACUAGACACCAACUGAAAGCAGCAUUUGUUCUUCCUGUUGUUGUUAUUUUUCUUUUUCAAACUGGGUUAAAUGAAUUUGAGAGAACAAGGAUCACUUCCACUGCCUACGAAAGUGAUUGCCAUUGAAUCGGGCUUGCGUGGGCCCCUGGGGAGCAGCAAGGUCAUGGCUGGAGCUGCCCACUCAGUGGCUGACUGUGUAUUGGACUCACACUGCCUUGCUGCUGGUGCCAGGCCUUAGCAGGAUGCAACCACGUGUGGAUGGACAACAGUGCAUGUGUGUGUGCAGUGGGGGCACAGAGCCCAAUUUGUGGCGGUGUAUUUACCCUUUUAGGAUAGUUGCACCCAGACUGGGGGUCUAACCAGCCUUCUCUUCUCUCCUGGUGGGUCUUCUCAUUGAAGUAGUUUGGGAUCUUUCUACAGAAACCACUUUUGUUUGUUUGAUUUUGACUUGUUUAUUCCUCUGACCCUACCUUCAUAGAGAACAAAUCACAACCGGGGCUGCUUCCUGCCUUUCUAAGACCCAGGCCCAUGCAGCUCUAGUGACGGCAGAAUUUUCGUUCUUGCUAAUUAACCAGUUUCCUUUAACGUAACUUCCUUUUAUCCUCUCUUAUCCCUCUGUCAUCACUCAUUUAUUAUGAUAAUCCCUUAACAGGGGUAUAAUACUCUAUAGUUUGUAACAGGCUUUCCCUUGCAAUUUCUCAUUUGCUUCUUAAUCAAAAUCUGUGAAUUAAUCGAGUUAAUGUUUUUUAUCAUAUCCAGCUUAGCAGUGGGAAACCAGUCAUCGGCCAUUCCUCACCUCCUCUGGUCUUCCAUUAAGAAUAUUAGUCUCGAGAGUGCCCAUCAUAGCGCAGUGGAAAGGAAUCCAACUAGUAUCCAUGAGAACGCGGGUUCAAUCCCUGGUCUUGCUCAGUGUGUAGGGGAUCUGGCAUUGCUGUGAACUGUGGUGUAGGUUGCAGACAUGGCUCAAAUCCUGUGUUGCUGUGACUGUGGUGUAGGCAGGGCAGCUGUAGAUCCCAUUCGACC
rnacentral:lncRNA from 1 species